GAUGAAGAACGCAGCGAAAUGCGAUAAGUAAUGUGAAUUGCAGAAUUCAGUGAAUCAUCGAAUCUUUGAACGCACAUUGCGCCCGCCAGUAUUCUGGCGGGCAUGCCUGUUCGAGCGUCAUUACAACCCUCAGGCCCCCGGGCCUGGCGUUGGGGAUCGGCGGAACCCCCCGUGGGCACACGCCGUCCCCCAAAUACAGUGGCGGUCCCGCCGCAGCUUCCAUCGCGUAGUAGCUAACACCUCGCGACUGGAGAGCGGCGCGGCCACGCCGUAAAACACCCAACUCUUCUGAAGUUGACCUCGAAUCAGGUAGGAAUACCCGCUGAACUUAAGCAUAUCAAUAAGCGGAGGA
rnacentral:misc_RNA from 1 species